rnacentral:misc_RNA from 1 species
CAACCCUCAGGUCCCCUUAGGGCGUGCCUGGUGUUGGGGAUCGGCGGCUGGCUGGGACGGUCUCUCCUCCUGGGGGAAGCCGCCCGCCCCCGCCGCCCCCGAAAUGAAUUGGCGGUCUCGUCGCGGCCUCCUCUGCGUAGUAGCACACAACCUCGCAGCAGGGAGCGCGGCGCGGCGACUGCCGUAAAACGCACCAAAACUCCUCAG